rnacentral:rRNA from 1 species
AGUGAACGCUGGCGGUAGGCCUAACACAUGCCAGUCGAACGGCAGCACAGUAAGAGCUUGCUCUUACGGGUGGCGAGUGGCGGACGGGUGAGGAAUACAUCGGAAUCUACUUUUUCGUGGGGGAUAACGUAGGGAAACUUACGCUAAUACCGCAUACGACCUACGGGUGAAAGCAGGGGAUCUUCGGACCUUGCGCGAUUGAAUGAGCCGAUGUCGGAUUAGCUAGUUGGCGGGGUAAAGGCCCACCAAGGCGAGGAUCCGUAGCUGGUCUGAGAGGAUGAUCAGCCACACUGGAACUGAGACACGGUCCAGACUCCUACGGGAGGCAGCAGUGGGGAAUAUUGGACAAUGGGCGCAAGCCUGAUCCAGCCAUACCGCGUGGGUGAAGAAGGCCUUCGGGUUGUAAAGCCCUUUUGUUGGGAAAGAAAAGCAGCAGGUUAAUACCCCGCUGUUCUGACGGUACCCAAAGAAUAAGCACCGGCUAACUUCGUG